AUCUUGGGAAAUAAUGGACUACAGUUCCUCAAACACUUAAUAUUUCUGCUUCCCCACAGGAUACAAAUACACAAGUGCCCCUGUGACAGGAGAAGGCUUGUGCCAGCUGUCUGAACAGCGUUUGCAUCCUAACCCAUCACUGUUCCUUUCUCAGCAGGGUCCAUGGUGAGCUGUUCCUCUCUCCUCCCUGCCUUUCCUCACCCCGGAUUCUGGUUUUCUCUCUGUGUGCAGCUGCAGGGAUGGCUCAGGCCCAAAUCCGUGCCAGCUCACUGAGAUUUUGUAUUUGCCUGAGGUUCCCAAUCUUGGCAAUAGUUUUCCACCUUUCAAACAAUGGGUGGACCCUCAGCAGUAAAUCCUAGCUGCCUGGCAAUAACCUUGUUUUACUUCGUUACCUUGUUUAGUUUAGGCAAAGCAAACCUUGGUUUUGGCUUAUUAACUGUUUAUGAAUGUUUGCACUGUGCAUAGUGUGCAAAAACCUCUGCAAAUUCUGCUGCUGGUUGUGUUUUUAACGUAAAAGCCUCUAAAGUGUGAUUGCUAAAAAGGCCGUGUUGUUUUGUGUCGCUGACUGCUUGAGCAAUGUUGCUUGCAAUGUCUUAUUUCUGCAUUGGGGUAAAUUGGUUGUUUGGCUGCUUUACUCAAUCAAACUUCAACUAAAAUGGCUUUAUAUUUAUUUCAUAUGCCACAGUAUUAAUGAUUUACUGAUAAUCUGGCUCAUCAGGGAUGAAAGCCGAAUGAGGGAAAGAGUCAGGUUCUACCUAACUCUUGUUCAUAGCUGUGUAACACUUUGUUUUGUUUUUCCAGGGGAAGAGAAAGGUACAGCUGUCAAGGGUGAAACAUUUGGGCAGAAAGGAGUUGAAGGGAAGGAUGAAAGUGUAAUCAAGUGAAGCCUAAUGAAAAGGUGUUCCUGGAGGGUAAACAGAACAAUUGCUUUAGCGACAGGAGUGAAUCAUGAUGGCACAAGUGAUACGAGGACUGUGAACAGCAGCUCUUGGGCCGGGAAAGGCCAGGAACCUGCCCUGAGCACCGUACCUGGGGCUUCUGCAGUGGUGCCUGAUGCAGAAGCUCACACGGAGCAACCAGCAAGUGGUGCACUGCAAAAGGUAAGCUGCCAGUUUGGGCUCUUGCUAGUCAACGCCAAAUCUUAUGCCCGAGGCUGCUGAUAGAAGGGGCUGCAGCCAGCUCCUGCUGUGGUUAAAGUGGCUCUGAGCACAUUGGGAGGGUCUGGCUUCCUGGAUGCUCUCAUUUUACCAUCCCAUAAAGAGUAUGCAACAGGGUCAAGCCUCAAAUCUCUUCAGUCAGCAAGCUGGUAACUUUCUUUCCUAAUGUAGAAGGGAUUCUCCAUUUUAAGCACACUAAAUUACUGAGAGGCACAAUAUCCAUUGGACUUAGCGGAGCUUUUAUGCCUUUGUUCAGUUACGCUCCAGUUGUUCCUUCAGCUGAGAACUUGCCAUAGGGGAAAAUACCACUUACGCCCUGUCCUUAUACCUUCCUAGCACCCCCAG
rnacentral:lncRNA from 1 species